AACGUGGGUCUAAUACCGGAUAGGAGCCUAUUUUUAGUGUGAUGGUUGGAAAGUUUUUUCGGUGUAGGAUGAGCUCGCGGCCUAUCAGCUUGUUGGUGGGGUAAUGGCCUACCAAGGUGGCGACGGGUAGCCGGCCUGAGAGGGUGGACGGCCACAUUGGGACUGAGAUACGGCCCAG
rnacentral:rRNA from 1 species